CCCGAGACUAGAGUCAAAUCUUGACAGCUAUUGUCCUGGUGUGCUAAAAUUCUCAGAGAGAAUCUGCUGGUCUUGAUUCACUUGAUUCAGCAAGUGCCCCCAGUAGUGUCCAGACCAGAAACAAAG